UCGUGUUGUCCACUUCUGUACUCCUGUGUCCUGUCUGCACGCCUCACUUCUAUUUUGCAUAAUGAAUCCUUACCAACUAGCUCAGCUUUCUGUCGUUCUAAGCUUCAUUUCUAGUACUCUGAGCCCUUUUCCUUGUUCCCCUACUUAUCUGCACAAUCCUGCUUCGUUAGCUUCCUUAAUUGCGAUAUGUAUGUUCCGCGCUAGAAGCAUGUCGUGGUUUAGUCGUAAUUGUGUCGUCCCAUUGGAAGUUCAAAUGAUGUGCGGCUUUCUUCAACCAUCAACUGGGCAUGCCAGGAGGAUUGGAGCUAUUCUUUCCGCUGAAUCAUGGCGCCAAGUUAGGUUCUACCAGGAGUGUCUAAGGGUCCAUUGCGCGGCCCUGGGAGACGGUCACCUUUGGAACCGCCCUUACAACGAUUGGAAUAAGUUAGCCAUGCAACAUGCGGACUUCCUAUGGAGGAUGAAACUUCCGGAGCUUCAACAAAGUAAGAGGAAACACCUUUCUAAUAUCUCACCGUCAAAUAAUGUACUGGUUCUUGGAGACGCCAUAGUAAGUGAUAACCAUAGAAGAACCCUUGCUUUAGGCCCUAAGCACUGUUUUAAGCCAAACAUAAAACCCGUUGAAGUUUUAAGCUUACCGCGCUGCAUAACCAGGUUUGUUCCGGAAGAAGAACGCUCACGCUGUAUUUCGGAUUGCAUUGCUAGCCUUAAACAAUCUAAUUCCAUUUUUAAGACGCCUGACCCUGUCCGACCGUUAGUUGAUUACCUUGUGGAGCAUAAACUUAGACCUGUAAUAUCUGACAAGGAAGGUUAUUUCGUAAUUAUGCCAGAUGACGUGUUUUCAGAAAAAGCGAUUUCAGCCAUAGAAAAGAAUUUGCAACCAGUCAAACUCAAGCCUUCGGUAGUUAAGCAACGUGCGGUUGACCUCUUGUCAAGACAUAAUCUUGAUAGACUUGUUUGUAAUGUCAAGAAAGCUAAAUCCCUCAACUUAGAACUGUUUUUCUCGGCCAAGACCCAUAAACAAGAAAUUACUUAUCGUGCUAUAGUGUCAGAGAAAGGGACGUGGCAGGUCUGUGUCGCUGGUUACCUACAGAACUGCCUAGCUUCACUAAUUUUUUCAGAUCCCUUUUGCCUACGUAAUUCUCAGGCGCUAGUUCACUAUUUAAGAGACGAGAAUCCGGGUGACUGUACAGCUUUUAGUAUGGAUAUCGAAGACCUGUAUUAUUCCUUGCCGCAUGACGGGUUGCUAAAUUCCGUAAAUGAGUGCAUUAAAGAACAAGUGCAAGAGUCGGCUUUUAUUGACAGAUGCGGUGUUUCCACGGGAGCUUUUCUAGAAAUUCUUUCAAUGUACUUGAAGUCGACGCUGAUUGGGUGGAGAGAUGGCGUUUUUCUGCAGAAAUCAGGCAUUUGCAUUGGCUCAAAGGUUGCCCCUAUUCUUAGCAACAUUUACCUGAGUAAGGUUGACAACUGCUUAGAGAAAGCCUUAGGUGAUAGCGUUAUCAAGAUAUUUCGUUACGUUGAUGAUUACCUGAUUUUCUGCAAUAGGGAAGAAUUAGACUCGGCUGCUACCUCAGUAAGUGAGCAAUUUAAACUUUAUGGGGGAGGAUUAAAGUUUACCAAGGAAUUACCUCAGCGACGCGUAAUUCAGUUUGACAUUUCCUUGAUCUUCGAACAUAAUCAUGUUUGUUGGCAGUACUCCCCAAGAUCUUCGAAGCCGUUGCUAAACUUUCAAUCCAAGCAUUCUAAAUUAGUAAAAAACGGAAUUGCCAUGUCGUGCCUUAAGUCUUCCCUCACAAGAUCUUGCAUGCACAAAAUGAGCGCCAGUUUUAAUGCGCAGGACCGGCGCCUAUUAGAAGCAGGUUAUCCUAAUGUAGCGGUGGCCACUGUAGCUGAGCGCCUAAAGAAGUCGGUUUCGAGGGGGACGGACGUAAUUACCGAAAGUAGUAAUCGCAAAAAAAAGAGUAGUGGCUAUUCCGUAUAUUCAUUCAGUGUCGCACAGGCUUAAAAAAGUUGCUAGUAGAUAUGAUGUUAAUGUUGCUUUCACUGCUCCCAAUAAGCUAGGUAAGAUAUGCGCUGCCGUACAGAAUAAAAAGGAGCGGGUUAAAGGCAAAAAACGAACAGAUAUUUGUCCAGUGAAGCACAAUAAGAACAACAGUUUUACAGAAUGUCGUAUGUGUGUGGUAUAUCAAAUUCCCCUUAUCUGUGGCCAGUUCUACGUAGGGCAAACGGGACGGUGUAUCAAUCAGAGGCUAAUGGAGCAUAAAGGGUCGUUAACUGGUGGAUCGCCUUCUAAUCUUUCGCUACAUUGCCGAGAUUGUAACUGCAAGCCAAAGUUAGAUGAAUGCGCGAUACUGUACAGGCAUAAGAAUGAAGAUACGCGUCUUAUGGUAGAGGCAUGGCAUAUCUAUAAUGGUGGAAGUGCGUGCGUGAGUCAGCCUUCGAUUACUUUACAUAAGGAAGAGAUUAAGUGCCUUAACAGUUAUCUCUCACGUAGAUCAGCACGUGUACCCGAUUGACACGUGAUGUUACCAUUCCUGAGCAUGCGCAGAUGAGUUUUGUGUCUUCUUUCAUUUUUCGCCUUAGUGCUCCCUUCAGUUGAUAGUCGGCGUUCGUGUUGUCCACUUCUCUACUCCUGUGUCCUGUCUGCACGCCUCACUUCUAUUUUGCAUAAGGAACUGCUUGCCUUCGAAUAAACACCGUUAAUAAAAAUCGAAAAUGGACUGGCCACAAGGAACAUGCUGACGGAGCCAUACCAUUGAUGACAUUAUCAAAAGGAAUAAUCGCCUGCUGCAUGGAACCUCAAGGAAGCUAAUCGCUGGCGGCGUCUACACAAGCUACGAGUGCGCAGCUUGGACGAAACAGCUACGUCGCAGCAACAAGGGCGACGCCUCCUGGCCUCCACCGGGUUAUAAGAGCACUACGUUCCUGGAACCUGGCAUAACUGCGGGCAGCCCAGGUACGUGCGCUUCCCCAGCAUGGCUGAGAUUCUGGUGAUCGCUAUUACAGAGUAAGAGCUUCCUUCUGGCCUUUUCUUCCUGCACAGGCCUACUAUUAAUUCGGCGCCGAAAUAACAAGUACGGCACCACACCACGCCGACACAAGCGCGGUCACCGCAGCUGCUUCCAUGCAUCUGCGCCGAGCGCUGCUGCAGCCGCGCUGGCACCAUCCGGACGCGCGCGACGUCAUAUAACCACAGGACCGCCGGCCACAGGCGCCGCCGCCACACUCUUUCCCUGGUACCCUGGACGCAAGCUCCAGGGUACAACCUCUGGGAACGCAUGCGGGGUAUGCAUACGGAGGCUGGAGGUGAAACAGCUUCGCUGUAAUAGCUCAACACUGAGUGCUUGUC